rnacentral:rRNA from 1 species
UGUUUAUUGAAUAUAAAGAAAAGACGAACAGCUCAGUAACUCUUAUUUUAUUUGAUGUAUUAGGAUUAUAACUAUGUUAAAUUAUAGAUAACAAUAAUACAAUAAGAAUAAGAUCUAUCAGUUAGUUGUUAAGGUAAUGGCUUAACAAGACUAUGACGGAUAACGGUAUUACUUUGUAAUAUUCCGGAGAAGGAGCCUGAGAGAUUGCUACUAAGUCUAAGGAUUGCAGCAGGGGCGAAACUUGACCUAUGAUAUGAUAUUGAGGCAGUUAUGAGUAGUAUUUUUAAUUAUUGUAGUAUUGUAAGUAUAUACUACAAGAUAAAUCGGAGGGCAAAUCGAGUGCCAGCAGCCGCGGUAAUACUUGUUCCGAUAGUGUGUAUGAUGAUUGAUGCAGUUAAAAAGUCUGUAGUUUAUUAUUAAUAAGCAUUGUGAGGUAUAUUGUAUGGUUAGGAGAGAGAUGAAAUGUGAUAACCCUAACUGGAUGAACAGAAGCGAAAGCUAUAUACUUAAAUGUUUUAUUAGAACAAGGACGUAAGCUAGAGGAUCGAAGAUGAUUAGAUACCAUUGUAGUUCUAGCAGUAAACUAUGUUAAAUCAUAGAUACAUUAUUAAUAUGUAUUUAUGUAAAGAAAUUAAGAUUAUAUUGACUCUGGGGAUAGUAUGAUCGCAAGAUUGAAAAUUAAAGAAAUUGACGGAAGAAUACCACAAGGAGUGGAUUGUGCGGCUU